AACGAACGCUGGCGGCAUGCCUAACACAUGCAAGUCGAACGAGACCUUCGGGUCUAGUGGCGCACGGGUGCGUAACGCGUGGGAAUCUGCCCUUGGGUUCGGAAUAACAGUUAGAAAUGACUGCUAAUACCGGAUGAUGACUUCGGUCCAAAGAUUUAUCGCCCAAGGAUGAGCCCGCGUAGGAUUAGCUAGUUGGUAGGGUAAAGGCCUACCAAGGCGACGAGCCUUAGCUGGUCUGAGAGGAUGAUCAGCCACACUGGGACUGAGACACGGCCCAGACUCCUACGGGAGGCAGCAGUGGGGAAUAUUGGACAAUGGGCGAAAGCCUGAUCCAGCAAUGCCGCGUGAGUGGUGAAGGCCCUAGGGUUGUAAAGCUCUUUUACCCGGGAUGAUAAUGACAGUACCGGGAGAAUAAGCCCCGGCUAACUCCGUGCCAGCAGCCGCAGUAAAAC
rnacentral:rRNA from 1 species